UGCAAACGCAUAGAAAAAUCUGCGUUUUCAAAAAUACCCGGGUACGUGUGGACAUAGCCGCAGAGUCAACGGUCGGCGCCAAUUUUGACGUCACACUGCGCUACGUUUUUGUCUCGGUGCUAUGAAAUCCUACAAUGGCAGCCUUAGACAAAAUACUGUUAAUUUAAGUAUAUUCAGUGUUUAAAUGCUUACAUUUACACACACAGUAACUGUCCCUUCACACAAAGGACUCGAUUCAUCUUCUAUGAGCUGUCUUUGUAUCUAGUUUUCCCUCUUUAUUGACGUUGUUCCUUAUUUCUCCUCUUUUUUUCAGAUCACAUUUGGUUACUACCAUCCACCCAUCAAUACACAGGGCAAGAAAAGACUCCAAAUUUUACAAAAAGUUAAAAAUGAAAGACUGGUGCAUUGUGCAGUUCAACACUGGUGGUACAGAAAUUGUCCCUAGUUCAUGGUUAAAUGGGAAGAAAUUGUCAUGGCCUCCAUAUCCUCCGCGAGACACAUUCAGGAUCCACGCCGCAGUAAAGAGGAGAGUUCAUCCUGGUGCAACAUGGCUCACCUAUGCACCAGUCCGGCUUCUCAUAAGCCAUGACACAUUUCAAGAAGCCGAACGCAGUCUCCAGAAAUAUCUCAGUGAACACUGUGAUACAUCUGACCUUCAGUCCGAAGCUGAAAGUCAGACCACUCUUAAAAGAAAGCACAAACCAAAUCCCCUGUACACGUAUAGUGACUCAGAGGAUGAGCAGCCCACAAAAAAAAGGUUUCCCCAGGCCCCUCGAGUGAAAAUACCAGGUAAUAAAAUAAUGUCUAGUGUCUGUGUACAUAACUGUGUGUCACACAUGGAAACUUCUUGGACAAGUUGUCUGUAUUCUUAAAUACUUUAAAAAAUUUAUCUUUUUCGAUACAGCCCUCAACGCUUCGCAG